UACGUAGGCAGCGAGCGUUGUUCGGAGUUACUGGGCGUAAAGAGUGCGUAGGCGGUUUUCUAAGUUUGGUGUGAAAUCUCCCGGCUUAACUGGGAGGGUGCGCCGAAAACUGGAAGGCUUGAGUAUGGGAGAGGUAAGCGGAAUUCCUGGUGUAGCGGUGAAAUGCGUAGAUAUCAGGAGGAACACCGGUGGCGAAGGCGGGUCUCUGGGCAGUAACUGACGCUGAGGAGCGAAAGCGUGGGGAGCGAACAGG
rnacentral:rRNA from 1 species